rnacentral:rRNA from 1 species
UACGUAGGGUGCAAGCGUUGUCCGGAAUUAUUGGGCGUAAAGAGCUCGUAGGCGGUCUGUCGCGUCGGCUGUGAAAACUCGGGGCUCAACCCCGAGCCUGCAGUCGAUACGGGGCAGACUAGAGUGCUGUAGGGGAGACUGGAACUCCUGGUGUAGCGGUGAAAUGCGCAGAUAUCAGGAGGAACACCGGUGGCGAAGGCGGGUCUCUGGGCAGUAACUGACGCUGAGGAGCGAAAGCGUGGGGAGCGAACAGG